CAGCUCAAAUUUGAAAUCUGGCCCCGUCGGGGUCCGAGUUGUAAUUUGUAGAGAGUGUUUCGGGUGACACCACGGUCUAAGUCUAUUGGAACAUGGCGUCAUAGAGGGUGAGAAUCCCGUAUGUGACCGUGGCUCGAGCCCAUGUGAAGCCUCUUCGACGAGUCGAGUUGUUUGGGAAUGCAGCUCAAAAUGGGUGGUAAAUUUCAUCUAAAGCUAAAUACUGGCUGGAGACCGAUAGCGCACAAGUAGAGUGAUCGAAAGAUGAAAAGCACUUUGGAAAGAGAGUCAAAAAGUACGUGAAAUUGUUGAAAGGGAAGCGCUUGCAACCAGACCUGUCCGUAGGUGAUCAGCCGCUGUUCUCAGCGGUGCACUCGCUCUGCGAUCAGGCCAGCAUCGGUUUCGGCGGUCGGAUAAAGGCCUUGGGAAUGUAGCUUCCUUCGGGGAGUCUUAUAGCCCUCGGUGCAAUGCGGCCAGCCGGGACCGAGGACCGCGCUUCGGCUAGGAUGCUGGCGUAAUGGUUGUAAGCGACCCGUCUUGAAACACGGACCAAGGAGUCUAACAUCUAUGCGAGUGUUUGGGUGUCAAACCCAUGCGCGGAAUGAAAGUGAACGGAGGUGAGAACCCUUUAGGGCGCAUCAUCGACCGAUCCAGAUGUCUUCGGAUGGAUUUGAGUAUGAGCAUAGCUGUUGGGACCCGAAAGAUGGUGAACUAUGCCUGAAUAGGGUGAAGCCAGAGGAAACUCUGGUGGAGGCUCGCAGCGGUUCUGACGUGCAAAUCGAUCGUCAAAUUUGGGUAUAGGGGCGAAAGACUAAUCGAACCAUCUAGUAGCUGGUUCCUGCC
rnacentral:rRNA from 1 species